rnacentral:miRNA from 2 species
UGAGAUCAUUUUGAAAGCUGAU